UUUUACUAGCCAUAAAUUCAUCUAUCUAUUACCACUAUAAAAGGAAGAGAGGGGCAGAUCCAAACAAUCACAUCCAUUCAUCAUCAACAUCUAAUGGCUCUUAAUCAUCCGGUGUGUAACGCUACCAACCAUGCAUUACCCCACUAGAACUGCCCGUCGUAAAAAAAAACCCGCUGCCCGCACACGAACGCACGGCCUCUCUCACCCCAUCCUUAGCCACAGGAGCCCCCGGGGGAUUGGAUGAUUUGCCCCACUAUACAAGGGUUGGAUGAUUUACCCUGUGAUUGUCUCAAUGACAGUGGCUCCGGGCCCCACCGGGUAGCCUCUCGGGGGUGCAAAUGAUCAAAUGGAGAAACCCCGGGAGCCGCCCCGCCGGGGGAGCCCCGCCGCAGGUCGCCGCCCUUCGCCGCGGGAGAGCCGGAGCCGCCGCCCGUCGCGCACCGAGGGAUCCCCGUCGCAGGUCGCCGCCCUUCGCUGCGGGAGUCGCCGGCAAGUCGCAGCCCGUCGCGCGCCGGGGGAGAGCCGCCCCAGGUCGCCGCCCUUCGCCACGGGAGAGCCGGAGCCGCGGAGCCACCGCCCGUCGCGCGCCUGCCUCUCCUCCUCUGCUGCCGCAGUCCAUGCCGCUGCCCCGACGUUCAGGUGAGGGGAGACGCCAUGCUGAAUUCACCACUGCGGCCGGCCGACCUGGUUUGCUGUAGCUGUUGCCUCAACCGGUGCGUCCCUGCCGUCCGGCGAUGGCGCGACCGCGGUGGACGCGGUUAUGCGUGGCUCACAGAGAUCCCAGGGCAAGACCAGUUUCCGCCCAUGAAAGGGAUACACCGAUUGAGACCACCGUCUAGAGGCCUGGACGUGGGAACGCUGCAGCUCCUUCCUCAAUGCUACUUUUCUAAAUCUGAUCUCUGCAACUCGUGAGGAUUCGAAUCACCAAAGGAACUAGGAGUACUACUUGUUUUAUUAUAAGUGUCUUGUAUUCUAAGAACUACUGAGCAAGAUAAUUCAGAUGGAUCUAAUUAAGAAUCUUGUAUCAACGGUGAUCAGGGCUGUUUUUACAUAUGUUUAUAGUAACUUGCGCCAAAGCUGUGUGUACUGGACGACCUGCGCCAAAGCUAUCCAUACAGGGCAGAUGGUCCUCAAAGCGUGGUGUCGAUUUCGUAAGUUGUUAAGUUGAUUUGGUAAGUCUAUACAGUGUGGAUGACCUACUCUAUCUAUUUAAUGGGUAAGUUGAUUUCGUUCUGUUGUCUCACCGGCUUAGUGUGUUGAGCAUGCGGUGCUUGUUAGAGCUUUGUCCAAACAUGUCAUACAAACUGCUUUUGCUCGGAGUUAUACAUGGAUGGAACUUUUAUAUGUUCACAAUACAUGAUAACAGGGGUUACCAUUUUGUGGCUCAGGAACUCACUUUGGAUAUAACAUCAUGGGGACAAAAAACAUAUUACUGGAAAAUCAGAAGCAUAUGGGAGCCGCAUUUGAGAAAUGCUCUCAACUUUCGGUUGCAAAUAUUGAAAAGGCGAUAUACAAUCCAGUGACUUUUUGAAUCACACUGUUGGUUACAUGGAAUCAAGUGAAGACCUCGGUGAUUUUGCAGUAUGGAUGAAGCUGUAUAUACACACAAAAUUUGAAUUUCUUGCCUCGAAAUAUAUUUUUGCAGCAUGUAUUAAACAUGGUGUGUCCAAACAUAGACGAUAAAUGAAAACAUGUCUUUUGCUUUGACGUUUCGGUGUGCAGUAACAGUUUCAAAUAGGAUAUACUUGUUUUAUUAUGAUCUCUACACAAUAUUAUUAGCUUGAAAAUUGAAUAUGGGCAUUUUUUAUUUUACACAUACAAUAAAAUUUUGUACAGUAUUUGAUACAUGCAUUUGCACGUACACGAUUACUAAAUCUUGGCAUUUUCUUCUAAGUACGAAAUCUGUUACAGAGUACUAAGUCUUGAUAUUUUGUUUGCCACCUAAGGAGAAAAAUGCCACUCCAGGUGAUUAUGAUACGCGAUUUUAGUGGUGUUUAUUGUUUCGUCGCAUGUAAAAGUGAUGUGGUGUCUUGCACAGACCUGCUGAAGUUUGUCUUCUAAUAGCUGAUACAUGCCUUCUAUAUUAGUAUAUUUUAUGCUUUAUUUAAGGUUUAAUUUUCAAUAUAUUACAGGUACACUUUUGAGUAUAUGAUAGUCCAUAUAGAGAGUUGCUUCCUUAAUCGAAGUAGGUGAAAAAAAUGUCCAGACCAGGAUUAUUUCAUUCUAGAAAAGGAAAAGAUAUGCAGGUUGGCGAUUCUCAAGUUGAUGGGUUUGUGCUACAAACUGAACUAAUUCCUCUGUGCCUUUGUAAUAUGGAGUUGGGCACUGAGCUUUCAUGCAAAUGAGGCACAAGAUAGAUCACAUGUGUGCACAGUAUUGGAGAUGCAGGCCCUUUAUUUUCAUUUACAAUUGGGACAUAUUCAACAUACCAAGACUCACAAAAUAUUGCCCGGGGCAAUACCAGUAAGCAACACACAAAUCUAGAUGAUAGGUCCUGAUAGGCAAACCAUAUGCUUCAUGACAAAACUAUGAACCAAUUGCACAAUAGUAAUAUUAGCAUGUUGUAUCUUUCUUCUUUUCCUCCAAUGAGCUUGUUCAUGCUUCUGGACAAUUGGACAUGGCAUAUAUCUUUGCCUUCUCCUGAUGUACAAGUCAUUUAAGAUCAUAGUCGUUUUGUACUCAGGUUACAUCAUAUGAGAUUUAACCAAAGGAGUGUUGUGUUUUUCAA